AAGCAAUUUGCUCAUAGCCAUAGCUUUCUUGUGAAAGUAGGAUAUUAACCCAGGUGUCUUGGUGCUGGAGAACAGAACUGGCCAGAGUCCAUCCUGUCUCCCACCGGCAUCCCAUUACGAAAUGAACACAGAAAAGGCAGGUCUGCAAUGCCAACAUCUAGUAUCUAUCCCAAAGACCAGGGAGAAAGGAAGGAAAGAUUCUGGUUCUGUCCUCUUCCCCAAGGCAAGGCUGGCUGCCCUACCAACAGAGGCAAAGAGAAGAGUGUGCAAGGCUGGCUGCCCUCCCAACAGAGGCAAAGAGGAGUGUGUGUUGAAAUAUCCAUUGAAUCCCUGAGACAACUGGAUCCUGGCCCAUUGAAUCAUAAACUCAAAUCUCACAUCAUAACCCCAAAUGACCUGUUACUCACCAUGUGGCCCAGCUGUCUUCAAACUCACCAGCCUCCUGCCUUAGCCUUCUAAAUGCUUGGAUUACAGGCAUGACCCACCAUAACUGGCUUUGUUUUAGUUUCAGAGAAGAUGAAACUGAUGUGCGUCAAAAAGUAAACUACCCACAUUUUAACUGGGCACAUUCCUGUCAAUCUGAUGAGAAUCUAUUUCAUACCCUGCUUUAGCUGGUAGUCUGUCAAGGAAAUGAGCUGAACAUGUCUGUGUACAGCUUUUGUGCCAUCCCUGGAUGAGCGAGCUGUCUGCCUCUAUGUUCUCCACAAAAUGGAAUAUAGCUGUACACCCAAGCCAAGUUAUGGAGGCUGGGAAGACCUAGAAUGUGGCAUCACUAUUUGGAAACCAUGCCGAUUACCGACCGAGCUCUCAAUGGAAAAAUGCAGUCGGCGUGAACCACGCACGAACACAGCAGAGAAAGAAGAAAACACACACCACGAGGAACCCUAAUAGGACAAUACAUUAUAAGCCUCAUGGUACAUCCACUUGGUGUGCUGGGAGAGUCAGGAUGAGGACCUGAGAAGAACAGCAGCUUGAACCUGACUUCAUUUAACAGCCCACUGCCCUCUUGCCAAGAACCCAUCACAGACCUUCCCAGAAGAGAGGGAUGAGCCUCACCUAUGAAUAAGUCCUCAGAAACUCAAAUUUGAUUCUAAUGGAUUGUUUUCUCAGAAAGACUGAGCAUGUCCCCCCACAUCUCUGUCAUUUCCCACAGUAGUAACCUCUGCAGAUGCCACAUAGAAAACAAAACAAAACAAAAAAACAUGAGGUUGGUGGGCAGAUAGGCAGGGUAUAAACAAACAGCCUUGUAACCCAGAAGCUGUGUGAUAUACAGUAAACUUCACAACACUGAAAAGAUGUCCUAUCUGUUAAAAUGGGGUAAUAACAACUACCCGAAUGUUUAGGAAUAGAACUUCAAUAAAUGAUACAUUUUAUAGUACAGCAGACCAUCCUGUAAAGGUUUCAUCCUUCACUGUGGUGAUAAAUAUCCCAAACCACAUUGAAAAGCAUUGCAUCUACAUUUAUCUACACUGUAACUGUACUGUAAAUCAUGGGGGAGGGGAGAAUCAUAAAAACACCACCUGUCACCGUGUCAUUAAAGCAAGUUGGAAGUGAUACUUACAGAAACACAGCAAGAGCACCCCCAGUCACACAGUUCAAUCUCUUAGCAAGCGUUUUCUUUCUAGCCCAGUGGUUCUCAGUUUGGAAUUUUUGGCACUGCCUAGAGAUAGUUUUGUUGUUAAAACUGAGAAAAGAGCCGGGCGUGGUGGCACACGCCUUUAAUCCCAGCACUCAGGAGGCAGAGGCAGG
rnacentral:lncRNA from 1 species